rnacentral:rRNA from 1 species
UACGGAGGGUGCAAACGUUGCUCGGAAUCACUGGGCGUAAAGCGCGCGUAGGCGGCCCAAAGUAAGGUGAUGUGAAAGCCCUGGGCUCAACCCAGGAAGUGCAUUCAAAACUAUUGGGCUUGAAUCUCGGAGGGGGCCAGAGAAUUCCCGGUGUAGAGGUGAAAUUCGUAGAUAUCGGGAGGAAUACCAGUGGCGAAGGC